rnacentral:rRNA from 1 species
GACAGAGGGUGCAAACGUUGUUCGGAAUUACUGGGCGUAAAGCGCGUGUAGGCGGCCCUGUAAGUCGGGUGUGAGAUCCCACGGCUCAACCGUGGAAGUGCAUUCGAAACUACAGGGCUAGAGUUCUGGAGAGGAAGGUGGAAUGCUUGGUGUAGAGGUGAAAUUCGUAGAUAUCAAGCGGAACACCGGUGGCGAAGGCGGCCUUCUGGACAGUAACUGACGCUGAGACGCGAAAGCGUGGGGAGCAAACAGG